AACCGGCUGUAUGUUUGGUUGGUGUUUGCUAACUUUUCAUAUAAUUGCAAAAUAAAACAAUGUUUAACAUGAAUAUUACAUUUUACCUUCAAUAAUUUAACUCUUUUCCCCCACAAAUUUACGGCAAACAACGGUACCGCUACCAAUUUCAUUUAACAGAAAUUGCGGUCGUUUAAAAAAAAAAAAAAAAAAAGUAUUUUAAAUUCGCGGUAAAACGAACAUUGUUUCUUUUCCGUUUUUGCCAUAUUUUCUCGGUCUCAUUCAUGUACAAUUCACCUUCAGAACACACACAAACAAUGGAUCCAGCAGUCACUGAAGUCCAGCUCUUUCGAAGAGAAGAGUUCAGAUAAAUUAUCUUCCACAAAAAAGCCACCCCUCCAGGAGUGGGAUUCCCCCAGAAGAC